rnacentral:rRNA from 1 species
CUACGGGGCGCAGCAGUGAGGAAUAUUGCACAAUGGGGGGAACCCUGAUGCAGCAACGCCGCGUGGAGGAUGACGCAUUUCGGUGUGUAAACUCCUUUUAUAUGUCAAGAAAAUGACGGUAGCAUAUGAAUAAGCACCGGCUAACUCCGUGCCAGCAGCCGCGGUAAUACGGAGGGUGCAAGCGUUACUCGGAAUCACUGGGCGUAAAGGACGCGUAGGCGGGUUGGAAAGUCAGGUGUGAAAUCCUACAGCUGUAACUGUAGAACUGCACUUGAAACUUCUAAUAUAGAGUAUGGGAGGGGGAGAUGGAAUUAGUGGUGUAGGGGUAAAAUCCGUAGAUAUCACUAGGAAUACCUAAAGCGAAGGCGAUCUCCUGGAACAUUACUGACGCUAAGGCGUGAAAGCGUGGGGAGCAAACAGGAUUAGAUACCCCCGUAGUC